rnacentral:tRNA from 1 species
UCCCAGUUAGUACAAUGGUUAGUAUAGGGCACUCUCAAGUUUCGGUCAUCUUCGGAUUACCGAGCACUGCUCAGAUCAGGGUUCGAUUCCCUGGCCGGGAA